GGCCGGGGGCCCAGCAGACCUAGGCACGCAGAGGUGAGAUGAUAGGCGGGGCUUUGCAGCUGGGGGCGCCGCCCUUGCGCCGCUCCGGCAGCGCCUGGGUUGGGGGCGUCAGGCCGAUCCUCGGCGCCCAGGACUCUCCGCAGCAGAUCUGGGGACCCGGAGCCCGCAUGUGUCAGACCCGGCCCCGACCCGAUCUCUGCGCGUCUCCAGCCCCUCGCCCCUGCGCGUCGCACCCCUGCCUUUCCCGCCGCACCCACCCUCCGGGAUCUGACAGCCUCCGUGUGGCGCUGGAAAAAUCCCACAGCGCUGGAGCCCAGCCGCGCCUUGUGCUGUUGGGGAAACUGAGACCUAGAACUGGAGCCCUUGGCGGUGAGCCCUGGAGGCGGCCUGAGGAUGCCCGGAUCUGAGAGCCUCCUGGGGCCCGCACCGGGCUGAGGGCUUGUCGUUGCAUUCCGACAGGGAAGGAAUGUCACCCCAUUUUUCAGGGUGUGACCCAAGGCACACCAGGCUUGAGUCACUUGCUUGGCUCAGAAAGGGGGGCGGGGAUUCGAACCUGGGGCUCCCUGACUCUUGUGCUUUUUCCUCUAAGCCUGUCGUGCCAGGGACUGCAGUAUGGCCCUUGGCCAUGGUGCAGAAACCAAUGGGGACAGCCGCUUCCCCUGGGGGAUAUCAGACUGGGGAGAGAAUGUGAAUUUAGAUCAUGGAGCUGGAAGGGACAUGAGGAAUGUUCCAGCCCAAACCCACCCACCUGCACAAAGGGGGAAACCAAGGGAAGGAAAAGCAGCUAUCCAGGGCCAAGGAGAGGAUGUGGCAGAGCCCGAACCUGAGCCCUAGUCCUCAGACUGUGGACGGUGCAGAUCCUAGUAUUUGGAAGAGACACAUUUCUUCACCUAAUCCAAGAAUGGGCAAUGACGUAGCCACAGAAACGUUCAUCUCAGCCUUACUAGUAACAACAAAAUGUUAGAAACCACCAAA